rnacentral:lncRNA from 1 species
UUAUAACAAAAUACUUUUUAACAAGGUAAAUUUCUUGAAUAGUGAAGUCCAAAAAUUGACUAAUGAGCUAAAAAUGAGAGAUGUGUGUAUUGAUGCAUUUAGUGAUAAAUCUCCUGUUAAAACCUUUCUUGAAAAUGAACUUCAAAAAGAAAUAGCUUCAUUAAAAUUAUCUCUUGCUAAAUUUGUCCAAGGUGAAGAAAAUUUGAAUGUCAUAUUAGGUAAACAAAGACCUAGUUUUGAAAGACAAGGAAUUGGUUAUGACCCUAUGCAUAAAAAGAGUAAUAUAAAAAUGCUAAAAUCAAAGUCACGAUUUAGUUUAAAUUAUUGCUCUCCUUUCACGACUUGUAAGCAUUCUGGUAUUAAAGGACAUUUAGAUAUAAAUUGUUUUAAGAAACGAAACAAGGUUAAAAAGGUAUGGAUUAAAAAGAAUGAUUUGCUUGCUACUAACAUAAGUGGACCCAAAAAGAUAUGGGUGCCAAAAGGAUAAAUUAUUCUUUCUUGACAGGUAUGCUUAAAGGCAAGAGUUUCAUCUCAAAAAUGGAUUCUUGAUAGCGGAUGUUCUCGGCACAUGACCAGUGAUAAAUCAAAAUUUGUAGAACUAAAUAUCAAGAAGAAGAAUGGAACGGUCACGUUUGGAGACAACAAAACCUGCGAAAUAAUUGGAAAAGGUAAAAUUAGUAAUGGCAAGGUAAGUAUAAAUAAUGUGCAUCUUGUUAAUGGCCUUGAAUUCAAUUUAAUUAGUAUUAGCCAAUUAAUGGAUAAUGGUCAUCAAGUUAACUUUGAAAAAGAUAAAUGCACAAUAUUUCAUGGUACUAACAAUACUACUCUAGUUGCACAAAGAGAAGGAAAUAUAUAUACUCUUGAUUUUGAGCAACAGGAUGAAGAACUAUGUCUUACUUCAGUACAAGAUGAAGCUUAUCUAUGGCAUAAAAGGAUGGGACAUGUUCACAUGGACUUAAUCAAGAAACUAUCCUCAAAGAAUCUCGUCAAAGGAUUGCCAAGAAUCAGGUUUGAAAAGAAAGGAAUAUGUAUUCCUUGUCAAUUGGGAAAACAAGUAAGAACUUCUUUUUCAGCAAAGAAUAUGGUAUCAACCUCUUCUCCUUUGCAACUACUUCAUCUUAAUUUAUUUGGACCUGAAAGGUAUUCAAGCAUUAAUGGUAAAUUCUAUGCUUUUGUAAUAGUUGAUGAUUUUUCAAGAUACACAUGGGUUUUAUUUUUGAGAACUAAGGAUGAAGCAUUUAAAGAAUUUGAAAAACUAAUAAGAAAUUUUGAAACAAAGUAUAUUUAUAAACUUAUUAGAAUUAGAAGUGAUCAUGGUACUGAGUUUCAAAAAGAUUUUAUAACCUUUUGUGAUCAAAGGGGUAUUAGCCAUGAAUUUUCAGUCCCAAGGACUCCUCAACAAAACGGAGUGGUGGAAAGAAAGAAUAGGACUCUACAAGAAACGGUGAGAACUACUGCAAGAAAGUAAGCUUCCAAAGAAAUUUUGGGCCGAAGCCGUAAGUACAUCAUGUUAUAUUUUAAAUAGAGUUCUUAUUCAUCCUAUCAUUUUGAAAACACCUUAUAAGCUUCUAAACAAUAAAAUUCCAAAUACAAGUUAUUUCAAAGUUUUUGGUUCGAAAUGUUUCAUCUUAAAUACAAGUGAUAAUUUGGGAAAAUUUGAUACUAAGUCAUACGAAGGAAUUUUUAUUGGUUAUUCUCAAAAUAGUAAGACUUAUCGUAUCUUUAAUAUUAGAAAGUCAUGUGUAGAAGAAUCUGCUCAUAUCACUUUCAAUGAGACUAACAAUGAUCUGCCAAAAGAAAGUGAAGAUGAUGCAGGAAAUUUAGAGAUAGUCAUCAUUCCAGAAAACCGAAAAGAACAAAACGGGAGACCAAAUGAGCAGUUUCAGGAAACUAAAAUGGACAACCAGCAGGAACGUGAACCUAAAAAUUUGCAGGAUGCUGAAGAUGAGUCUCAUGAUCAAGAGGAAGUGUUACAUGAUAUUCAAAUGCCAAAAACAGCUAGAUAUGUCAAGAAUCAUCCUCCAGAGAAUAUCAUUGGAGAUAUCAACAAAGGUGUAACCACACGAAGAGGUUUACAAAAUCAUUGUGCAUUCUCUGCAUUUUUGUCACAGGUUGAGCCAAAGAAUGCAAAAGAUGCAGUCCUUGAUGAAAAUUGGUUACUGGCAAUGCAAGAAGAACUUCAACAAUUUGAAAGAUGCCAAGUAUGGGAACUUAUGCCUCCUUUAAAAGAUGCCUCCAUCAUUGGUAUAAAAUGGGUAUUCAAAAACAAGCUUGAUGAUCACGGAAUAAUCACUCGAAACAAAUCAAGGCUAGUAGCCCAAGGGUAUAACCAAUAAGAGGGAAUCGACUAUGAAGAAACCUAUGCACCUGUGGCUAGGUUAGAAUCAAUCCAAAUUUUGUUACCAUUUGCGUGCUACAAAAAGUUUAAGCUGUAUCAAAUGGACGUAAAGAGUUCUUUCCUCAACGGAUACAUUAACGAAGAGGUCUAUGUGAAACAACCUCCUGGAUUCGAGCAUGAAAAGUAUCCUAAUCACGUCUACAAAUUAAAGAAAGCUCUUUAUGGUUUGAAACAAGCUCCAAGAGCGUGGUACGAAAGGUUAAGUAAAUAUCUCUUGUCAAAUGGAUUUAUUAGAGGAAAAAUAGAUUCUACAUUAUUUAUUAAGCAUAAAAAUAUAGAUAUCAUUAUUGUUCAAAUAUAUGUAGACGAUAUAAUUUUCGGUGCUACUAAUGAUCAUCUUUGUGAGUGGUUUUCCAAGUGCAUGAAUAAAGAAUUUGAUAUGAGCUUAAUGGGUGAACUCAACUACUUUUUGGGACUUCAAAUCAAGCAAACGAAGGACGAAAUUUACAUCCAUCUAACAAAAUAAACAAAAGAAUUACUCAAGCGAUUUGGCUUUGAAGGAUCUAACUCAAAAGGUACACCGAUGAGCACAUCAAUAAAGCUCACUACUUAUGAAAAAGGUAUUGAUGUUGAUAUAACAAAAUAUCAAGGUAUGAUUGGAUGUUUACUAAACUUAACUGCUUCUAGACCCGAUAUAAUGUAUAGUGUUUGUUUAUGUGCAAGAUUUCAGGCAAAACCCAAAGAAUCACAUUUAAAUGCUGUUAAAAGGAUUUUUAAAUAUUUAUGUGGUACAAUAAAUUUAGGGUUAUUUUAUCCAAUUUCCAAUCACUUUGAACUAAUAGGUUAUUCAGAUCCUGACUAUGUAGGAUGUCAAAUCGAUAGAAAAAGUAUGAGUGGUGCUUGUACUUUCUUGGGACAGAGUCUCGUGUCAUGGCAUAGUAAAAAGCAAACCUCAGUGGCUCUUUCAACUACUGAGGGUGAAUACCUAGCUGCAGGAAGUUGUUGUUCUCAGAUAUUAUGGAUGCUACAAACUCUAUGUGAUUUUGAUAUAUUAUGUGAUUGUGUGCCUAUUUAUUGCGAUAAUUCUAGUGCUAUAGAUAUAUCUAAAAAUCCUAUGUUACAUUCACGUACUAAGCAUAUAAAAGUUAGGCAUCAUUUUUUAAGAGACAAUGUUUCAAAAGGGUUAAUUAAAUUGAUUUUUAUUCCAACUGAAAAUCAAAUUGCAGAUAUUUUUACAAAAACUUUGAGUGAAGAUAGAUUUUGUAUGUUGCGAAGAGAACUUGGGAUGUGUCUUUCAUAAUUUGUUUAUCAAUAUGUGUUAUCCUAACUUGCAUGAAUAUCUUAUUAUUUAAUAAGGGUAAAUAUGGGUUUUCAAACUGUCAACCGUCUACUUAACUCCUUAAUUCAUGCACACAUUAAUCAAGGAGUCUAUCAUAAUUGGUUUUGAAAACUGAAAAGACCGAAUGGAAAUAGGAGUCUCGGGAGACGUAAGUAUGCGUGCGUGUGUUUUAUCUAUUAAAUAUUUUUGAAAACUGAAAAGACGGGUCUAUGAGGGUUUCUUGGGAGACGUUAGUAUACAUAUAUACCUCUGUGUUUAUUAUUAUACUCCAUAUCUUUCCAUUCUUCUCUAUAUUUUCUACUUCUAUUUUCUUUAUAUCUUAUAUCUUUUCUGAUUCUUUCUUACCUUAUAACCUUGUUCUUCCUCCACUCACCAUGAAAACUCGUACGCAUAAGAGGUCAUUGAUCGAUUCCGACGACGAUCAGGCGUCGGUUCCACCGCGGAUCAUCUCGCCAGAAAAAGAAACUGAAGAAAGUUGUAUCUUCAGAGACAGAGUACGUGGACUCUUCAUCUUCUGACGAGUCUACUUUCAAUCCAUCUCUGCCCAAAUCUACUGGACCCUCUCGGCGUCAUCAGUCUUUCAAGCCAGAAGUUACACCUCCUUCUAUUUCGAUAAACCCUAACUUGUCUUCUGAUCUGCCUGAAAAUUAUUUUCGAAGUAAUGCAUACGAGGUACGAUUUAAAAUAGUCAUUUUUCCUAAACAAUUUAUUUAUGAAAAAUCUGUUGAUCAGAUCUGUUUUUAGCAAUCUCCUCUCAAACUGUUAUUUGAAACAUGUGGUUUUUCUUCAAUGCUUUUUCCUCCUUCUGUGGCUUAUCCUAGACUUGUCCAACAAUUUUACACAAAUCUAGAAUAUAAUGGUGAUUUUUAUACUACUUUUGUCAAAGGCAAAUCAUUAUAUUUCUCUGUUGUGGAUUUUGGUAGUAUUUUGAAAAUUCCAUCUUCUGGUGUGUGUCCUUUUACAAAGAAAGGUGCUGUUCAUUUUCCUUUCACUCCUCUGGAACAAUUACAAUUUGUGAUGAACAACAAUUCAUUGACUGAUGUUUUCACUCCUAAGACUGUUGAUGUCUCUCCUGUCUCUUGCGUCCUCCAUCAUCUUGUUAGAUACAAUCUGUUGCCUCGGUUAGGUGGAGGAGCAGAUUUUAUAUAUCAGAAUUUGAUUAUUGUUGCUCUGAUUUUAAGAGGUGUGUCUUUUAAUUUGUCUCAACUCAUGCUUCAUCAUAUGACCACAUGUUUGCGAAAAAUCAAGACGUGUUUGCCUUACAGUGUUACUCUCACUACUUUGUUUAAACAUUUUAAAAUUUCUUUUGAAGAUGAAAAUUCUGUUUCGGUUACCGAUUUUAUCAGUGUCAGUUCCCUGAAAAUGUCUCGUAUAAAUUUACUUGAUGGUAUGUUUGUUCGUGUACCUUCUGAAACUCCUGCUCCUCCGGUCUCCAUUCCAUCCUCUCCUGUCCAGCCUCAUAGUCAAUCUUCUCCUGAAAUUAUGGACAUGUUGAAAGUUAUUUUGUGUAAUCAAGAAAAGAUGCAACUUGAGAUGACUGCUCUUCAUAAUAGAAUGUCUGUGUUGGGAAAAGGUAAGUUCCCAUUGGGUGCACCUAAAAUCAAUAAACUCUAUCAUAACAUUGAAGAUGAGUUUAUUGAUUUGCAAGCUGGUUUUGAGGUAUAAACAACUGCCUUAGCUGAGUUGAUGCAACGACGUCUCAAUCGAAAUUCUUGUCAGUUGAGUCAGGAGCUUAAGUUUGUUAGUAAUCAAAUAAGGGAGUUGGCUGAAUUCAUUUCUGUUCGUUUCAAUGAUGUGGGCGCUAAACUCCACAUGCAGCAUAAGCAUUCAACGGUUCUGGAGUGGGUGCACUGCAAUUGGUUGGCCGAGUAUCAAGGAGAGUUUCUGGAUGUCCCUCUUCCCCCUGCCACUAUCAUUCCGAGGCCUCCACAAUUUGCUGCUGGUUUGAGCGUUGCUGAGAAGGUACACCGAGCCAAUCACCGCCCAUAUUUCACUCAGCGUGCAGCUCAGCAUGUGGCAGUGGUAGAGCUCGACGAAUGAAUUGCUUCCUUUUUGUUUGAUGACAAAGGGGGAGAUUAUUUUGGGUUAUUUAUGGACGAAUUUUAAAAACUUUAAAAUUUUAUGUUUGUUUUGGUUUGGUGUGAAUCACCAAAAGACUUAUGUUUAAUUUGGGAUUUUAAAUAUUUGAUAAAUUUGCAGUAGAUAUUUUGAUGUUUGAUGGACUAACAAUUACUGCAUGUAACAAAUUUACUGAAAAUUGAUUUUCAGUAUCCUGAAAUACUUUUAUUGCAUGGAUUUAAGGGGAGCUACUUAUGUUAUGCAUAUAUUCAGGGGGAGUUAAUAGGAAUUAAACAAUUUUGGGUUGUCAUCAUCAAAAAGGGGGAGAAUGUUGACUUUGUCAUAUUCAAUCCUUAAGUUUUGAUGAUGAAAUGUUCAAGUACUAAAUUGUUUUAUGGUGUUUCGGGUAUUUGUUGAUAAAAGAAUGUUGGUGAGAUUUUCAAGUGAAGGAAGCAAGUGUUUCUUAUUUCUAGGAGACAAAUGUAAGGUCAAUCGAAUAGUAAUUGAUUUUUCAUUUAAAGGCUCUAGGACAUUAUUAUUUGCAUUCUUUUUAUAUGUCUUAAAUGAAAAAUGUUUUUAAAAUCUUAUGAAAAAGGUUUUUGUGGAGUAAUACAUAUAUGAAAUAUCUUGUGCAUAAUAGCCAUACCUUUUGCAAUUUGAUAUAUAUGUAUUUAAAAUUAUGGUUACACGUGGAUAUGUAUGAUAGUAGCUAGUUCUCUUUAAGUUGUUGCAUGUGCGGUUUUUGAGGUGUAAUUAUUUCAUGCAUUAAUUAUAUUAUAAGCAUGCUAGCCUUGGUAGGUGAUAUGUCCUUCAUGGAGAUCUAUAAAUAUCUAGCAGCUUUAUCUCUUGAUGAUUUGAUGGAUACGUAUUUCAAGGAAAAGCUACUAUCAUUAUCUUGGACUCUUAAAGGUCUUGGAAAAAUAACUAACUGAUGUGCUUCUAUGUUAGACGUCACUUUUGAGUAAGGAGAUUAAGUCAAAGUUAUUUAUCUUUCAAGUCUUUUGAAUCUUUCCACUAACAAAAGUUUGUUUUCUUAAUGUGGAUAUACAUUAAAGAUGUGGACUUCAUCUAGCUUUUCUGUUGUGAAUAUUUCCGUUGGUUUUUUUUUUAUUAGAACUUAUCUUAUUAACGGUAAUAUAAUAUGGGUUAUAAAAUCAGUGUUCUCAAGCAUGGAAAAACAACUCACGAAUUUAUUAUUGCACUUAUUAUUGUUAUUGAGCAAAUUGAUUUAUUGAGUCCAAUUCUUGAGAAGCUAAGCAGUUUAAUUUUUGGUAUUAUUUAAGGUGGUAUUCGGUAAGAAAUUAAUUGCUUAUUUAUUUUGUUCUAAUUGAUCAUUGCAUAUAGUUGAGCCUUUAAUUGUUAAAUUGAUUAUUCUUGCAUUGAUCAUAGACCUCUAUAAUUGUAUUGAAUUUUCUGUUUUAGACUAAGUGUAGUCUAAAGGUUUUAAUCCUAGUGGAUUAGAGAAAGAGUUACAAACAGGUUCAAGGAAGCAAAGGUAUUUGAAGAGUGCAUAGGUGCACAAGGAGCAAGAGAGCUCAAGGGAAAUUAAUUGUUAAUUAAUUUUGUUGGAAUCUGUUUUGUAAUCUGUAUUUAUUUAUAAAAAAAUAAAUAAAGUGAGUCUCCAAUACUAGUUGGUAUUGGACGUGGACUAGGCUAUUAUUAUAGAGGGUAAUAGCUGAACCACGUAAAAAAUCUUGGUGUUGAUUUUAUUAUUUGCUUUACUUUAAAAUCACAUAAGCAAUUUUAAUUAUCUUAAUAAUUAAAAUUUGAAUACUUGCAUUAUAUUAAGAUAAUUCUUUAACAUCAAGUAUUUUAUUUAAGAUAUAAAUUUAGCAAGAUAUUUUCUAAAUAGGCUAUAUUAAUUCAGUAAGCUGAUUUCAAUCAUUAUAGUAGCCUGAAAUUAAUAGUUUAAUUUAAAGUUUAAAAAUUGGUCAUAGAUUGCUCCUACACUUAUUCAACCCCCCUUCUAAGUGUGCCUAGAUAAAUUUCACCUAGUUGGAAUUUAAAUGGAGUUUUAGAUGAGAGAUAGAAGAGGAAGAGAGAUCAGAAAUUAAGAAAUGGAAGAGAGAGAAAAAGGAAAAGCUAAACUAUGAUAUCCCGAAUAUUAACAAUAUUCCUUUUAAGGGAAAUAUUAAAAGAUUAAAUAAGGGUUAGAUAUUAAAACCUAGUUUAUUAAAGAAAAUGUGUAAAAAUAAGAUUAAAUUUUUUUUAUCUAUGUGCUAUAAAGAGCCAAUAGAGUAUAAAAUGAUUGUGAAGAAAGACUUUUAAGAUAAAAGGCUCUAACUAAGAAUGUUACGAGACAUUAUGAAUAUUACUUAUUCAUAAUGAAAAGAAAGUAAUAUGCGGAGUUAAAUAAAUUUUAUGAGAUGUAGUAAGUAAAUGUAUUAUUAAAUUUAUACUUUUAUUAUUCAAAAUGAAAAGGAAAACCAACAAGGCUUAAUUGGAAAAUAUUCUUGACAUAAAUCUACCUAUGAGAUCAAUGUAAUAAUUAUAUUAUAAAAUAGUUAAUUUCAUCAAAAAGUAUUAUUUAGUGACAAAUAAGGAAAUUGGUGUGCUACCAUUGGUAUUUAUAGAGCCAUCAUGAUGUAUGUGCUAAUUAUUUUUGUCAAGCCUAAAUAAAUAUGGUAGAUAAAAUUCAUAUAUAUGGAUAUGUAAUGAGAGUCCAUAUUAAGUUAUUGGGCCAUUUUAAUGCCACUACGUAUGCUUACAAGCCUUCUCUAUUAUUUUCUAGAGUAUGAGUUAUUGCUUAUGCGAUAAGUGCCUUGAGCCUAAACCAAAAUCAAUGCCCAACCUUUUUGGUGUCCUCAUCCGAAAGCCACAUGAAAUGAAAAAUAGAGCUGUUUUAGUCUAAUAAAAUUGAGCAGUUAGUUGGCUUUAGUAGUCAUUAAGUUAGCAAUUGGUUAGUAAGUUAGAAUUGGCUAGUAGGUAGUUAGAGGCAUAAGGUGGCUGUGAUGAUAUGGCUACUCUUAGGGGCUAAGUAGACUGCUAGCCUUUGAUGGUUAUCAGCUGAGCUGUGAGGAGGCUGCUAGGAGGCUAAUUAGGGGCUAUGGUAGAGGCCAAUGUAGGGGCCGGGUAGAGGCUAAACAAAGUAGCUAUGUAUAAGUGAUGAUGGAGAGCAGUAAUAAGCCAAGUAGGUUGAUUGAAAAAGAGAGAAAACUCAACCAUCUAUGGACAUACAAUACACCUGAGAUCAGUUAGCUUCUAUACUUAUCUGAGUUCCAAAAGCAAUAUCAAUAGUAGUCCAUUAGAUUGAGAGAGUAACAAAACUAUGGCUGGAAGGGAAUGAAGGAUUGAGCAGCAAAGCUACUUUAAUCUCUAGAAGUUAGCAAGCUUAAACUCUUUCCAUUCCUUUUCUAUUUUAUAUUUGAUAGUAGAAUGGACUGUUAGUGGCUAUAGUAUUAAAUAAGACCAUGGUGGUUAUUAUGAUAAUAUUAGUGCUUUGUGUUGUUGUUGAGGAAUUAUAUGAAGACCCUUAAUAAAUCAAAAGUUAAAAGGCUUGGGAAAAUGGACAAGAAAUUAGUUGUUCCAUAUAAAUAAAAAUUAUUCUCACCAACUGUUUGAUUAAAUGUCCUACUAGGGACUGUUAAAGUAUAAAAGCAUGAUAGCUAUGAAUUAGAGUCCAAAAUUAUAUCUAGUAGCUUAUAUAGUAAAACUAAUGCUUCAAGUAUGUUUCUAUGCUUAAGUAUAACAUGUUUUAAAGCAAAUUACAAACCAUGAUAGCUUUUUUUAGGAGAAAAAAAAAGUUAUUUUGACUGUUAUUGGAAGCUUGUUUUAUAACUGUUAUGCCAUUUUUUUAGUGUUGACUUUAUGCUAUAAUAAGGUGUCUUUCAUACAAAACCAUGAAGGCUAAUAGUUACGAAGUUAAAGUGAUAUUUCCAGCCAAGAAAGGAUCAAAACAGGACAGUUUGGGCCUGUUUAAAAUAGGCCAGACCAAGCCACUAUUUUGAGAACUAGUAUGCUAGCUAAAUAACUUAUUUAUAGACUGUUAUGGCUAAAUAUUUGAGCCAUCCGGAUAAAGAGGUUCAUGUUGUAUUCUAUGAAUAAAGUCAGUCCAUGCUUAUAUAUAUGUUAUGUUAUCCUUUGUUAAGCAUGUUGCUAGCUCAUGUUUUCUUGUGGAACUUAAAGCCUAUAAAGGGCUAUUUUGAACAAGAGCAUAAGGCCUUACAUAUAUGUGUUUUAAACCAUGAACAUAUAGUAUAUAGUAGGUUCAUGUUGUGAUAAUGCAUAUACUUCAAUACUUGAGACUGUUUUGGUGAAAGGGUGUUAACUCAUGCUUAAUAUGCCUAGAAAAAGGAUUGUUUUAGUGUUAGAAAUUGAACUAACAUUUACAAGCAUGCUAAUGUAUAUGGUUUUAAGUUUUAAUGAUGAUUUAAAGUUUGUAUGAGGGCUUAAAGGUCCCUUGAGUCCUAGGAUGGGGAUUGUUUGUGUGUAAUAGCCAAAAUUGUGCUUAAAAUCUAGAUUUGAGAACUGUUUUGGUCAAGGUCAGUACCUAAACUUUUGAGUCAAUAAGGAGACCAUAAUAUUUCCAUAAAUAAAAUUUAAAAGUUGUUCCUUAACUUAGUUGAGGUCCAUAUUGAGUACUACUCAGUUUUCAUGUUUAAAGUUGUAAAACCCCAACUUUUGAUAAAUAAAAUUAAAUUUCCUCUAUUAAUUAUUCUGAAAUAGUAAGGGGUGGGUUUGGUUAAUGUGGUUAGUUAUGGGCAAAAUGUGCAAAUUUUUUGAAAUAACCAAGUGGUUAUAAAAUAUUCAUUGUUGUCGGGGAAUAUUCGUUUGGUCGUGGAAUAUUCUUAUUGUCAGGGAAUAUUCAUACGACGGCGCAGCCAUUUGUGGGGCGUGGACCCCAUAACAGAAAAUGAUCGGAUGAAAAAAAUGACAAGUUUGAGUUUUUAUAAAUGAUGGCGUAGUUGUUACCGUUAACACUGUUGGAAUAUCUGAUGGUUAAAAUACAGUAAUACGCGUGGUUGCACAGUAGCACACGGUAUUGCACAGUAUUCUAGAAUUAUUGAUUCUUACGUAAGAAUGUACUACUCAAUAAUUGUUAUAGUAAUUACUGUUCAAUAUUUUAUUUUAUUGAUUCAAUAAUUGCUACGUUGAUAUUUUAUAUUAUUGAUUCAAUAAUUGUCACUACACAAUAUUUUCCAUUAUCAGAUCAAUAAUUCAUAUUAUUUGAAUAAUAUUAUUAGAUAGCAUUAUUGAAAAUGUCUAAGGAAUUUCUGUCUAGGAAAGGGGUUUGGUCACCUAAUUGCACGUCAGUAAGAAGAAAUCCUUAUCGAAAAGCCCCCUCUUUCUUGGGAACGACUUGGUUGUCAAUAUUAUAGUUCUGUAAUAUUAUUUGUGAAUAAUUAAUUGUUGAUAUAUAUGAAAAGAAAAUAUAUAUUCAAUGUAGAUAUAAACGGAGGAAUUUUUAGCAUGUCACAUUUGUUAAAGUCGGUAUUUUUUAUCUUUUUUGAUAAAUAAUUCAUUCAAAUAUAUUAUUAUAAUAUUACAUUAUAGUAGUAUGAUGUGAUUAUAUAAUAGUAUGAUUUUUAUAAUUUGAGUGGUAACAUUAUUAUAGUAAAUUCAUGGUAUAAAGUAAAAUGAGGUGGAAGAGAACAAAUUGAAUUUGAAUUCGUACGAUAUAAGCAAUGAUGUCAUCGGAGCGAUGAGGUAUGCAAUGAUGUCAUCGGAACGAUGAGGUAGCGAUGAUGUCAUAGAUUAUGGUAAAAAGACUAUUUUACCCUUACUCUGCCAAGCCUAUAAAUAGAAGCUCAUUUCUUCAUUAUUUUUCACCAAUUCACUAAAGCUAUAGAGAAAGAGAAAGUAUAUAGAGAAUAAGAGAGAAAGAAGAAGCUUAUCCUGCUAUUACACUAGUGCAGUCUCUGAAUUUUUAUUAACGUAAGGGGUAUUAUUUUUUUCGUAUUCAUGAAGAGAGUUAUUUCUUUCAAUACUCGUAAGGGUUGUUAUUCCAUUCUUUAUUAUUCUGUUGGAAUAACCUGUCUCCGCGGACUACCGCAUGCAUUGUGACGCCCCCAAAACAGGUAUACAUCACCCAUCUUAAGUCGCCAAAUACAUGGUACAGAAUACAAAUACAAACUUAAUUAUACAAACGUCGUGUAAUAUACGACAAAACAUAGCUGAGAGUUUAAACAGGAAUAUUGCCUUCUAGACAAUAUCCACUCUCAAAUAGAGUCCUCAUUACAUUUAUUGUUACACUAUUUUAUAGAAUAGUGAGGACUACUAUAACACCAUCUCGGACCAUCACUCCGUUCCCCGACUAGUCCCGGUUACGUUCUCAUUUUCUGAAGAGAACAAUGAAAGCAAAAGGAUGAGCUCAACUAGCCCAGUAAGAAAUAUUAUGACUAAGAUAAUGCAAGAUAAAUUACCAUUAGCCUUCAAAAAUGUUAAACUGAUAAAAUACAAUAGACAUCAAGUUUAACUGCAGCGGAAAAAGCAAUCCACUAGAAGAGUCAAGUAGAGCAUAAUAUCUACUAUCUUCUAUGAUUUAAAAUGUUUUCAUCAAUUUUUAUCGCUGAGACUCAGCUUAAUAAAUAAACCACAUCAUCGAGUCAUCCCUGCACUACAGGCCAAGGAUAUUCAUUAAAUCAUCAAUGGUCAUGACUAUACCGAAUAAUCCCUGGUCAUAAUCAUACCAAAAAUUGUCCAUCAAUGCACUACAGGCCACUAAGGACUUUUACCACAUCAUUUAUAACAUUAUAGGUCCUGAUUAUAUAGAAUGAUCCCUGAACAUAAUCAUACCAAUUCCAUCUAUGCACGUAAGCCAAAGAUGACUUUCAUCACAAUAUAAGCAUGAGGAUGAUGACAAUGACAUAAUAAUUCAAUAAAACAAGUUCAAGAAUAAAUUUUAAAGAUUUAUAAGUUAAUUUAUCCUGAAAUCAAUUACGUCCAAAUUGUCAACAUGAUACUGCUUUGUGGAGUAAAAUUCAAGAAUGCUCAGAAGAAUAUUUCCAUGAAAAGAUACUGGAUGAAGCGCAAAUAUCCAGGAUAUUCUACUAAUUUCAUGGAGUAUAGAAGCCAAAACUUUAACCAACUGAGUAUAAUAGAAUAUAUGAAACUGCAAAUGGAUUUUCGCCCGCCAUGCGGUAAUCCACGUAGACAGAUCAUUUCCACAAUUUAAUAAGGAAUGAAUACGAAGGAUCAUUCACCAUGCAUGUGGUAAUCCACAUAGACAGGUUAUUCCAACAGAAUAAUAAAGAAUGGAAUAACAAAAGAAUUCACCAGGCAUGCGAUAGACCGCACAGACAGGUUAUUCCAACAAAAUAAUAAAAAAUAGAACCAGGUCAUGCGUAAUUCGCACAGACAGGAUAUUCCAAGAGAAUAGUAAAGAAUGGAACCACGUCAUGCGUAAUCCGCACAGACAGGAUGUUCCAAUAGAAUAAUAAGGAAUGAAAUAACAACAGAAUUCACCAGGCAUGCGAUAGACAGCACAGACAGGUUAUUCCAAUAGAAUAAUAAAAAAUGGAACCAGAUCAUGCGUAAUCCGCACAGACAGGAUAUUCCAACAGAAUAAUAAAGAAUGGAAUAACAACAGAAUUCACCAGGCAUGUGAUAGACCGCACAGACAGGUUAUUCCAACAGAAUAAUAAAGAAUAGAAUAACGGAAGAAUUUCACCAUGUAUGCGGUACUUCGCAUAGACAGGUUAUUCCAAUAUAAUAAUAAAGAAUGGAAUAACAACCCUUACGAGUAUUGAAAGAAAAUAACUCUCUUCAUGAAUACGAAAGAAUAAUACCCCUUACCUUAGAAAGAAGAUAUUCCAAUGGGUAGGGUGAGGAUAUUCUUGACGAAAACUUAUACUGUUUUCUACGCUCAAAGCUUCUUAAAACUCUAAAGAAAUACGCUCAAGAUUAUAGAAGAAGAAUUCUCUGAAUUUCUGGUGUGUUUUCAAUUCUAACUAAGCAUCCUAUUUAUAGGAGAAUAGAAAGGAUACUAUGCAAUAAAAUAUAAUAUAUUCUAUUUAUAAUAUAUAUAUAUAUAUAUAUAUAUAUAUUUAUAUAUAUAUAUAUAUAUUAUUUUAAAUCUAAUAAAAUGAAUAACUUUAUAAAAGUAUUCUGUUUUAUAUAAAAAUAUUUUACUAUGCAAACACUAUGCAGACACUAUGCAUAAUAAAAUAUAUUAUAUUCUAUUUAUAGUAAAAUAAAACAAAACUUUAUAAAAAAUAUUCUGUUUUAUAUUAAAAGUUUUCUGUUUUAUUACAUUUAUAAUAAUAAUAAAAUAAGGGGGGUGUAUUCAAUUAGGAUUUUUAAAGACUUUAAAAGACUUUAAAAGUUUGGGUGUAUUCAAUCAAGACAUUUAAAGAGUUUAUAAAAGUUUAGUGGUAUUCAAUUACAACUUUUUUAAUGUCUUUAAAAGUUAGGUGGUAUUGAAUUAAGAUUUUUUCAAAGUCUAUAAAAGUAUUUUGGUAUUCAAAAAGUCAUAGACUUUUCAGAUUUCUAUUAAAUGGUAGACUUUGACAGACUUUAGAAGAAGAAUUAUAACUAUCAACCCAUAUCCAAAGUCUAACCUCAUCUCUAAAGAUUUCUAAAGACUUUCAAAUAAACACAAAGGUGGAUAAAACUAGUUAUUAAUUGGAUUUUGUCUUUUAUUGAGUCAAACUAAUUAUUUAUUUUAUAUGUGCAUAGGUUUGUUCAAAUAGUAGUAUCAUUAUGAUGAUAAGAAAAUAAUAUACCAUAUUAUAAAAUUGUCAACAUUUUGAUAGUCAAUUACAUUGUUCAUUUACAAAGUUUCUGGCGUCAUCAAGGUUCAUCAUGCAAUUGACAUUUUCCUACAUCACGUCAUUCGCUUGUGCAUGAAAUUGCACCAGUCACUUGAGAAACGUCAGCCCUAAAUGAUUACUACUCUAAAGUCUAGUUCACUGGUGCCUUCCAAAUUCAAAUUCCUUUUUUAUUUGGUUAUAACAAGGAGAUUUUCACCAUUGAAAAAAAAUGGAAUAGAUGUUUCCACAUGCACAACGGCUUUAGAAAAUCCUCAGAAAAGAAACUCACAAGAUUCUCACUUUUGUUAAAGCUAAACAAUUGUAUUAAAUAUAUGAACCUAUUAAACCAUAAAUAAACUACACCUUAAAAAUGAUUCAGUUUUGAUGUUUAGACAAGUGAAACACUAAGAAUGAGAUAUACUCGGUUGUUUCUGAUAAAAAGAAUAAGAAUAAAAAAUAGUUUGAGCAUAAAUACAUAAUUAAAGUAUCCAACAGUUUGAGAAUAAGAAUAUGAGCUUAAUUUUUGUAUUGCGUCUGUAAUUUCUAAAGUUUUAUUGGUAUCCGAGUAUCCAAAUGUAUUAUGAAAUGAGUAGAAUAAUAUGAACGCUUUCAACAUAUAUAAAAUCUCAUGCCACAAUAAUAUAAUGAGAUUUACUCUAGUUCAUGAAAAAAGAGAGAGAUGUUGUACACAUGGGCUAAUUAACAAUUAAUAUAAAUUACAAGAUAUAUUGAAGUAUACAAAAGUCUAUCACAGUCUUAAUAAAAAGUUUAUAAAAGUCUGUUACUUAUUUCAUAGAGUCUAUAAAAGUCAUUUUAAAAGAGUCUUUAAAGUCUUUGAAAGUCAUUAAAAUCCCACAAAUUCUACAAAAGUAUGUCACUUAAAAAAAGUCAUUAAAAAUCUUAAUUGAAUACACCCCCCUAAAACUCAUCAUCAUUAUUAUAAUUCACACUAUUAAUCGACCAAGUCAUUCUCAGGAAAGAGGGGGCUUUCCAAUAAGGAUUUCUCCCUAUUGGCGCGCAAUUAGGUGACCAAACCUCUCCUUGACAGAACUUCUAGACAUCGUUAAUAUUGCAAAUAAUAAUAUUAAUAACUUUGUUAUCUCAAUUAUUGAUUUAAUAAUAUAUAAAAUAUCGACAAUAAUUGAAUCAAAUAACGUGAGAUACUAUGCAACAAUUACUGUAGCAAUAAUUGAAUAAAACUUAGUGACUUCUCACGUAAGCAUCAAUAAUCAAUACUGUGUGCUACUAUGCAAGCACGCGUAUUACUGUACUUUUAACGCCGGGUGUUUCAACAGUUAACGGUAAAAUUUCCGCCGUUAUUUUCAUAAAAAUAUUUUUGUCAUUUUCUCAAUCCGAUAAUAAUUCCGUUGUGGGGUCCACCAAUGAUUGUGCUGUCGUACGAAUUUAAAAUGAAUAUUCCCCGACCAAUCGAAUAUUAUAUAACAACUUGCGUACUUUGUAAAAUUUAUAAAUAUUACCCACAACUAUAACAUUAUAUCAAAUCCACACCAUAAUAUUCAAAAAAAAUAUUUCGAGAAAUUUAAAUCUUUAUUCAUAAAAUUUGGGGUCUCACAAUCUCUCCUCCUUAUGAAAUUUCACCCUCGAAAUUUACUUAUGUUCCUGGUAUGCCGAAGAAAUGAGGAUACCUUAACUUUAUUUCAGAUUCUAACUCUUGAGGUAUAACCUUUGAGUGUUAAAUACGAUCCUUCUUAUCUAAGAUUUUAACACGUAUCUCCUCAUACGUUAAAUCUUCUGCUAUCUCAUCUAGUUUUAAUUCAAUAAUGUGGUUCGAGUCGUCCACAUAUUUACGUAACAUCGAUACGUGAAAAACGUUAUGAACACACGACAAACUUGGCGGUAAAGCGAGUCUAUAGGCCACAGUUCCUACUUGAUCGAGAAUUUCAAAUGGGCCAAUUAAAUCGAGGGUUGAGAUUUCCUUUCUUCAUCGAUUCUUGCUUCUAGAAUAACGCCCUCUUGAACCUUCUUCUUCACAUUCAUUAGCUCUGAGUUUGUAGCUUGAGCGGCUUUAACUUUAUCGAUUAAAGUCGAUUCUACUCGUAUAUUCGCUAUCUUCACAUGGGUCUCUAGAGUCUUUAACUCUAUCUUCAUUAUUUGUAAGUUAUACGAAAUGGGUUUUUGUGUUAACAACAUCGCACUCGUAAACGCAUACGAUCUUCUACUCAACGCGUCAGCUACUACGUUCGCUCUUCUAUAAUGAUAUUGAAUGGUAUAGUCGUAAUCUUCAACAGCUCGAGCCAACGUCUUUGGCGCAUUAUACGUUCGUUCUAGGUGAAGAAAUAUUUAAGGGUUUUAGAAAUGGGUUUUGUACUGAGGUCAAUACAAAAUUCGAUUUCACGCUCUAGGGGUAGGCUAAGAAGUCUUUAAGAAUACGUCAGGAAAUUUAUUAACAAUAGAAAUGUCAUUCAAAACUGUGACUCUCAUCCAAGACUUGGAUAGUAUGUCACAUCGAUACCUAUCAACUUGCCAUCGUCAUUCACGACGUCGCCUACAGAAAGUCUGGCUUCAGUGCAUUACACAAAAAGAAGUCAACAACGAAAGGAUCGGGGCUCUUUACUUAUGGCUUGAUAUAACAGUGAUUAACUUUAGUGGUUUGGUUGCUUGAAUUCGCAUAACAGGUUAGUUAGGAAUAUGAAAUCUAACAACCUUACGAAAAUCAUGAUGAGUAGUUAACCAAUCGAUUCCUAAAAUUACAUCAAAGGCAAGUAUUUUCAAAGAGAUAAGAUCGACAGGUAACAUGAAAGUGUCAAUUUGAAUCAGCAAGAUUUAUAAACAGUGGAGGUAACGAAGGUUUCUCCUAACCGAGUUUCAACCAAUAAGUCAAAGUCUAAUUUCUCUGGGGUCAAAUUUAAACGUUGAGAGCAAGCAAGAGAGAUAAAAGAAUUGUUAGAACCGGUAUCUAAUAAGGUAUAGACUUCUCAAAAAUUUAUAAUUAACUAACCCGUGCUAACUUCGUUUGGGUUACUCAUUUUUUGAGAAGUCACGAAAAACGCUCUUCCUGAAAGCACCGACUUUGUUUUGUCUGUAUCCGCCUUUGGUGCCACCAUCCCAGCUGGACUUGAUUUUAGUGCAUGACAAAAUCGGGCUAGGUGACCUUCUCUUCCACAAUUGAAACACGCUUUGGACUGCUGCAUACAGUUUGGACUGAUGUGUCCUUCCCUUCCACAUUUGUAACAUACGACCAGUGGUCGUUCUCCUUCCUUAACAACAGGUGUUGAUGCUGAUGUCUUUCCAUCAUUGUUGAAUCUCCUUUUCUUGAAAUGUCCAUUCUUAUUAUUUUGGCCAUGAUUACCCUUGAAGUGAUUGCCAUUUCUGGCAUGUUAAUUCCCUCCAUGCUUAUUGUCACCGCUUCGAUGACUGCUAUCACUGGUAUUAUCAUUUUGCCGGCUGCUCUCUUUUGGUUAGGUUGAUUCAUUAUCAUGCUCCAAUAACUGAGCCUUAUUAACAACAUCUGAAUACAAACACAGUUUAUGAGAGAUAAGAUAUUGACGUAUCUUGGGUUUCAAACCUCUUAGAAACAUUCGCGUCAUUCUCUCCUCAUUAUCAACCAAGUGGGACGCAAACCGAGAUAACUCGACAAACUUAGCUUCAUAUUGUGCCACGGUCAUAUUAAUUUGCUCAAGCUUGAUGAACUCUACCUCCUUCAUGUGACGAAUACUUUCAGGAAAGUACUUGUCGUUGAACAGUUCUUGGAACUUCUCCCAAGACAUCUUCAGUGCGGCAAGUUGAGUACGCUUUACAGAUUCCCACCAGUAAUCUGCCUCUGCUCGCAACAUGUAGGUGGAAAAGGGAACCUUUUGCUCCUUGGAGCAUCCCAAGACAUCAAAUAUCUUGUUGAUCUGCUUUAUCCACGUCUCUGCUUUAAGUGGUUUUGGCUCUCCAAAAAACUCCGGUGGUCCCAACUCCUUGAACUGCUUAGCGGUGACCGUUCAAGAGUUAUUAGUGUUUCCACCUGCAUUUUAGACAGGAGCCGCCUUCGCCUGAUGUUGCAUGAAUUGGAUAAAACCUCUAAACAUCCCAUCAUUCAUCAUUUGAUCAUUGUUGUUUACUUGAGGAUUAUUGUCUUCCUGUUGUACAUUAUCCUGGGUAUUAAUCUGUGGUGACUCAACGGUCUCAUGUGCUUCAUUGCUUAUCUCAACAUUUUUGGAUGUCAUUUUCAAAUACUGCCACAAAACAAAGGUUAAUUAACAUAUCACAUAUUAUCCCUAUACUUUGACCGACCAAUUAAUUACCAAAUAAACUUAGGUAGGUCAUACUAGCGAAGGAAUUUCCCGUCUCUCCCCUCCUAGUUCUUGUCUCAUGUCUCAGCCAGGGAUCAUAUCCCUAAGCUUUUAUACCAACUGUGACGCCCCCAAAACAGGUAUACAUCACCCAUCUUGAGUCGCCAAAUACAUGGUACAGAAUACAAAUAUAAACUUAAUUCUACAAAUGUCGUGUAAUAUACGACAAAACAUAGCUGAGAGUUUAAACAGAAAUAUUGCCUUCUAGACAAUAUCCACUCUCAAAUAGAGUCUUCAUUACAUUUAUUGUUACACUAUUUUAUAGAAUAAUGAGGACUACUAUAACACCAUCUCGGACCAUCACUCCGUUCCCCGACUAGACCCGACUACGUUCUCAUUUCCUGAAGAGAACAAUGAAAGCAAAAGGGUGAGCUCAACUAGCCCAGUAAGAAAUAUUAUGACUAAGAUAAUGCAAGAUAAAUUAUCAUUAGCCUUCAAAAAUGUUAAACUGAUAAAAUACAAUAGACAUCAAGUUUAACUGCAGCGGAAAAAGCAAUCCACUAAAAGAGUCAAGUAGAGCAUAAUAUCUACUAUCUUCUAUGAUUUAAAAUGUUUUCAUCAAUUUUUAUCACUGAGACUCAGCUUAAUAAAUAAACCACAUCAUCGAGUCAUCCCUGCACUACAGGCCAAGGAUAUUCAUUAAAUCAUCAAUGGUCAUGACUAUACCGAAUAAUCCCUGGUCAUAAUCAUACCAAAAACUGUCCAUCAAUGCACUACAGGCCACUGAGGACUUUUACCACAUCAUUUAUAACAUUACAGGUCAUGAUUAUACCGAAUGAUCCCUGGUCAUAAUCAUACCAAGUCCAUCUAUGCACGUAAGCCAAAGAUGACUUUCAUCACAAUAUAAGCAUGAGGAUGAUGACAAUGACAUAAUAAUUCAAUAAAACAAGUUCAAGAAUAAAUUUUAAAGAAUUAUAAGUUAAUUUAUCCUGAAAUCAAUUACGUCCGAAUUGUCAACAUGAUACUGCUUUGUGGAGUAAAAUUCAAGAAUGCUCAGAAGAAUAUUUUCAUGAAAAGAUACUGGAUGAAGCGCAAAUAUCCAGGAUAUUCUACUAAUUUCAUGGAGUAUAGAAGCCAAAACUUUAACCAACUGAGUAUAAUAGAAAUAUGAAACUGUAAAUGGAUUUUCGCCCGCCAUGCGGUAAUCCACGUAGACAGAUCAUUUCCAUAAUUUAAUAAGGAAUGAAUACAAAGGAUCAUUCACCAUGCAUGUGGUAAUCCACAUAGAUAGGUUAUUCCAACAGAAUAAUAAAGAAUGGAAUAACAAAAGAAUUCACCAGGCAUGCGAUAGACCGCACAAAUAGGUUAUUCCAACAGAAUAAUAAAAAAUGUAACCAGGUCAUGCGUAAUCCGCACAGACAGGAUAUUCUAACAGGAUAAUAAAAAAUGGAACCAGGUCAUGCUGAAUCCGCAAAGACAGGAUGUUCCAACAGAAUAAUAAAGAAUGGAAUAACAACAGAAUUCACCAGGCAUGUGAUAGACCGCACAGACAGGUUAUUCUAACAGAAUAAUAAAAAAUGGAACCAGGUCAUGCAUAAUCUGCACAAACAUGAUAUUCCAACAGAAUAAUAAAUAAUGGAAUAACAACAGAAUUCACCAGGCAUGCGAUAGAUCACACAAACAGGUUAUUCUAACAGAUAAUAAAGAAUGGAAUAACAGAAGAAUUUCACUAUGUAUGCGGUACUUCACAUAGACAGGUUAUUCUAACAUAAUAAUAAAGAAUGGAAUAACAACCCUUACGAGUAUUGAAAGAAAAUAAAUCUCUUCAUGAAAUUAGACACUGGAAAUUUUCUGCACACCUGUUACUGACAUUGCAGGAGGGUAUAUUUGUCUUUCAGAGAUAACCCUGGAAGACAGCUGACAUCCAUUUCGGAUACUACCGGAAGUUUAGUUCCAACCCGGAACUCAAACUGGGAACAUCAGUUCCAACCCAGAGCACGAACCGGGAACGUCAUUCCAAACCCCGGAACACACACCGGGAGUGUCAUUUCCAAUCUCAGAGAUAACCCCGAGGUAUGCAGAUCAAAAGACUGGCAACAACACCGGAGAGGACAGUUCUGUCUCAGCGAUAACACCAUGACGCUCAGUUCCAGUCCCAGAAAUAACACUGGGAAUAGCGACUCCAUCCUUGGUGAUAGCCCCAAGGGAUGUUUUUGCAGUUCCGGCGAUAAUUCUGAAAUUGUUUGUUUCAAACACAUGCGAUCAGCUUCAAGCUCAUACCUCCUGACGAGGCACUCAUACCUCAGACCCGGAGCUAAUAAUGGGCAGACAGGCACACCCACAGAUGACAGUGAGGCAUACAAACAAGCAGUCCAAUCCCAGAUAUAACCCUGAGCAACGUCUGCUUUUCGCUCAAACCGGCGAUAACCCCAGUGAGGAGUUAAAACGCCGUCUUACCGCCUCAACAUUUUCUCUCACAAGAUGAUAUCGCAGCAUACCAACAAGUAGUCCAAUCUCAGAUGUAACCCUGAGCAACGUCUACUUUCAACUCAAACCGGCGAUAACCCCGGCGAGGAGUCAAACGUCAUCUUGUCUCUUCAACACCUGCGCGUCAUCUCAACACUACAUAUAUACAUACAUCCAACAAUGUCCCACAAGAACCGAGGAGUUACAAUCCCGAGUGACUAUUACGCAUGGCAGUACUUUGGAUAGAAUUUGAAGCUUGAAGACCAUGGGCAUAGACCCAUCUUCCUGACUUCGUACAACCUCUAAUUCAUGUCAUUGCGUAACUGUCGACACAAGCGGUCCAAAGAAGGUCAGAUAUACAUCGUUCGGAUGCUCGGAUUGAAGUUCUGCAAGUUCGAGCGGAUAUUACAGUGCAUGAGUGCACGUACUUCAAGACGACGGGACCCGUGAGGUUCGGAUGCACCACGACCAGCCGCAGGUACAAUCGCGGCUGCCGCAGGUGUACCUGCGGCCAUCAGUCUAUAAAUAUGAGCCUUGGGGUCCGCCAUUUGAAGAGGAGAAGGAGAGGUAAAGGCGAGGAAGCCCUAUCCAUUUUACUCUGUAUACACAUAUAGCUAUCUUUUAUGAGCCUUGGGGUCAUCUUUAAACACUUGUUAGCUCACAUAUAGCUAUCUUUUAUCCGGCGGGAGCUGAGUGUUUAUCCAUUUAAAGUCAUAGAAGUCUACAUUGGCAACCCACUGUAAGCCUUCUCACAUUAUAUAAAGCCUUCUUCUCAUAUUAGCACACACUGUUAUACACAUUGAGAGUCGUGUUGUGUGCGUUUGCCGGGACUUCGGUCCGUGGUUUUCAUUUCUGUCGGUAUAUAUAUACUUAUAUAUGUAUAUAUUUCAUAUAUGGACUAACAUUAUCGAGUUAUGCCUCGAUUGAGCCUAGACUUCGNNNNNNNNNNNNNNNNNNNNNNNNNNNNNNNNNNNNNNNNNNNNNNNNNNNNNNNNNNNNNNNNNNNNNNNNNNNNNNNNNNNNNNNNNNNNNNNNNNNNNNNNNNNNNNNNNNNNNNNNNNNNNNNNNNNNNNNNNNNNNNNNNNNNNNNNNNNNNNNNNNNNNNNNNNNNNNNNNNNNNNNNNNNNNNNNNNNNNNNNNNNNNNNNNNNNNNNNNNNNNNNNNNNNNNNNNNNNNNNNNNNNNNNNNNNNNNNNNNNNNNNNNNNNNNNNNNNNNNNNNNNNNNNNNNNNNNNNNNNNNNNNNNNNNNNNNNNNNNNNNNNNNNNNNNNNNNNNNNNNNNNNNNNNNNNNNNNNNNNNNNNNNNNNNNNNNNNNNNNNNNNNNNNNNNNNNUAUAUAUAUAUAUAUAUAUAUAUAUUUACCGCUUUUAUAUAUAUUUACAUUUCCGAUCCCCCAUGGAGUUGCUUCGUGGUGGUUGAUCAUGUCUGUAUAUAUAUAUUUACAGCUUUUAUAUAUAUAACUUCUUACUGCUUUCCAUACAAAUUGCAGUAUCAUGUGAGCCUAGGAAUCAUGUGAUCACAGAUUCAGUCUACAGAAUCUAGAUUCGGUUCCCAUGAUGGAUAUUUUUCAGCUGUAAGCAGCUUGUACAUUAUUUUACAGUGUCCAAAUUUCCUUGGAUGGCUGUCAAGCCCAUGAGGAGUUCGGCACUGCUGUAUAUUAUUUUCUCGAGAAUGCUUCGCAUCUCAAAAAUAAAAGCAAACAAGCUAAAUAUUUAAUAAUAAAAUGGAAGUAUCAAAGGCCUCAAUUACUAUUGAACACAGGGUUUGAAAAAACCUCUUUUACAAAACGUCAUUGCUAUAUCUUGUUUAAAACUGAAUUUUUUCAUAAAUUCAAACCCUAUGUAUAUAGGUGCGAACGAGGUACAACACUACUUCCAAAUAAUUGCACAUUGAUCCACACACACACACACACACACAUACACAUUCAUAUAAUAGUUUCUUUGGAAAGUGGCGGUCACCGUGGUAACACAGAUGUCGGGGGGUGCCUAACACCUUCCCUCUGCAUAAUCAAGCCCCCGAACCCAAAAUAAAUCUCGGUUUCAUAGACCCGUCUAGCAGUGUCAAAUCACUGGGUCAAUGUGCAAACCUUUUCGGUUGCGUUGAUGCAACCAGUUAAAUACACCAACUGGCGACUCUUAAAGUCAAAUCGUCGACAUUAUACAUGUCGAACCUUUUUCACUUGUUUUUUCAAACAAAUCUCACAUUAACAUGAGAACACCAAAGAACAAGUAACGAAAAGGGACACUCGAAAAUCCCGACGUCGACAGGCGGCGACUCUGCUGGGGACUCCAGUAAGAGGGCUUAAGCCGCUAUUACAAGAUUUUCAAAAUUGUUAUAUGCUUGUGUAUGAAUGUUGCAUUUACAUUUCUGAUAAAUAUGUACGAAUGCAUUUUUAUUUACUGCACUGCUAAAUAUCUAUCUGUGAUAUUAGUGCUUCGCACAUGUUAUCAUUUUGCAUAAACGGUAAGAUACGUUGUAUGUGAAUGUAUGUUGUGUGGUUCCUCCAUCAGGAGGCUAUCCUGUCGGUGUUUGAUUACAGGACUUGUAGGAAGAAUAAUUCCAACGAGGCUCAGGAAAGGCAUCACCCAGAUUCGCUCCAAUUGAAAGACCAGAUUAACUUUUCGUCGAGUAAAUUGCGAUGAUCUGGGAACCUUCAUGCCAAAAAGCCGCGAGAGUAACCCUAAGAUAGGUCAUGUAGCGCCCCCGAAUCGUCGCGGAUCCGGUUCGCUAUUUUUAUAACUGUUGCGGAAGAUAUAAACAUAAAUUGUUUAUACAUUAAACAUUAUACACUAUCCCCAAGGUCGAGUAACCAUAACUUAUACACAUUUCAUAACUUAUCUGACACAUGAUAUUAUCAUACAAGACUAUUAUAAAUCUAAUCACGCAUAUUAACUCUAAGCUGGAACUGUCUUUAACUUUCCUUGUAUCCGAAGCAUUCGUCUUUAUCUGCAAUAUUUUAUCAUGAUAUAGAAAGGGUGUGCAUGAAAGUUGCCCAGCAAGUUUAAAUACAAUUUAAGGAUAUAUCAUGAUUGAAAGAGUCUGAAUAAUAAGCUGGCUAUAAUUCACAAUGUAGUUGUGAAUUAGCAUGAACAAACUUUUGACUGAACAAGUAUUACAUAUGAACAAUAUAUAUCUGGACCAACUGGUAAUGAAGGUGAUCAGCCUUUCAUACCUGACUUAUACAUACAAGAUGUACAGAGUACAAUUCUACAUGGCAAUCAGUAAUGAUUAACCAUAAGCAUAUCUGAAUGAAACACUCUUAGUAGAGUUAAGAAAAACAAACUUGCCUGUUCCGUUGAUUACCGAUACGAAAAAUAACUUAGCUUUAUCCGAAGACCUAAUACAGAUAAUACCGAUCUCCAAAUAUUAGAAUAAUAUCAUCACAGUAUAAAAUAACCUAAACACAUUAUCACAUAAUCCUGUCAGUCUAUACAACACAUAAGACUUAGCAUCAAAUCAGACUAUUUAAGUCUAAGUUGAAACCGACACAAUUCAAUCAUCCCGACGGUCAAAUCGGACAAUAUCGAGUUUAAGUUCAAUUAAACUCUGCCUAAACAAUUAACAAUAAUCUUAGAUAAUCAUAGUAUCAGUCAAAACAUUUUUCAUAAACUUGCAAAAAUUUUCAGAUAAUUAAUAUCAUUUAACAACAUUUUUCAAUCAUUAAUACUGUAUUUAAAUGAAUUAAAUACCACAAUAUUCUAAUAUCAUUAAUAUUUAUUUAAUAUUAAACAUUAAUGAAACACAUGUCAUAAUAUUAUAACAUAUUUGUAAUAUCUCAAAGUAUUUUCAAUACUUUAUUAUUUCCUUUAAAUGUUUUUAAAGUAAUUAAAAACAUAAACCAAUAACUGAUAUUAAUAUAAAUACCACAUUAUUCCUUGAUCAUUAAUAUUAAUUUAAUACCAAAUAUCAAUGAAAAUCAUAACAUAAUAUUAUAAUAUAAUUAUAACAUCACAAAGUAUUUUAAUACUUAAAAAUCAUAUUUCUAUGAUUUUUAAACAAUCAAAUUCAUUAUCCGAUAAUUGCUAUAAAUAUUAAAAUAUUAAUAUUUUCAUGACAAAAUAUCAAAAGUUAUAUUUUAUAACUCAAAAUAUUUUUAUAACACUUAAAUCAUUUUUAUAUGAUUUUUAAAGCAUUAAUUCUAUUUUUCCAUAAUUUUCCAAGUUCCUUUAGUAUUUUUCAAAAAUCAUUUCUAGUUAAUUCCUUAAGAAAUUAGCUACCUUGUGCUUAACUCCAGAAAUUCCCAUCUUCUGACACAAUCUUACACAUGUUAUCGUGAGUCUCCAGUUUAAAUUUCGUGGCAAUCGGAGUUGUAGAACUCCGGUUAUAGCCGUUUUCGUCGGAAAAUCACAAAAAUUGAAAUGGUCAUAACUCGGUCAUUUUAAGUCGGAAUUAGCUCAUUUUUGGACACAAGGUACUUAAUACCAUAUAUUUUCAUUUCCCAAAAGGCCGGAAUUUAUUUCAUAAAUUAAAUUACCGAAACAGCCCUCACAAAAUAUUAGCAGCUUACUUUUUGUCAAAAACAGUUUUGGAGUCCUUUACUAAAUCUUAAAUAAAAUGAGAUCUAUAACUCCGAUUAAUGAUCCGUCAAUUUUGUUGGAUUCGUAUCUUUCCGAUCUACAAUUUUCAUCUAUCACAAUCCAUAUUUGGACAUGUUAAGCUCUCGGAAAUUAGCCCGGAAGUGGCUGUUAAAAACUGUUGCUCUAACAGUUUUUCUUACCUUUGAGUAGUUUGGGAGAAAUUCCAUAACUUGCUCAUUUUUCAACCUAAUUGAGUGAUUCCAAAGGGGUUUUAUCCUUAACACAUAUAUCUAGCUCCACAAAUUGACCACACUCAAAAAUUCAAAGUAGAAUGAGAGAUAAGGUCAUUUCCAUAUCAUGCUUGGUUUCUCCAAAAAUUUUGUUUUCGCAGUUUUGAUUAUGCUUCUUCCGAACGUCAUAACUACUUCAUCCGGAGUCCGAAUUAGUCCGUUCCGGAGUCUAUGGAAAGCUUAUUUAGUGUACUACAACAUAUCAAAAGUCCAGAAUUUUUAGACCAUCCAAACAAAUCCGGAAUUUUCUGUUUAGGGGCAGCAGUUACCAAUUCAUUUUAAAAAAACUGUUUUGGUUCUUCUUCUUUGUUCAAGCUCAUCAACCUUAAAAAUGGCAAGAUCUAACCAUAAAAUAUCAUAUAUUAUGUAGACCUUCCCUCAUAUGGUUCAAAAUCAUAAGUUCAACACUUGGUCUAAAACAACCAUAACAAAACACAUAAACUAACUAGAGUUUUGAGUUUAGGAAAUUUUCAUACCUUUAGUUAUAAUCCUCUAGCUUUUGGUGGCCCUCUUUCUUUGCUUUCCAAAGUAGGAGAUUAAAUUAUUGGACAUCCAAGGACCCUCUCUUCUCCCUCCAUGGGAGUGGCCGAACACCACCUCUCCCUCUCUCAUGAUUUUAUUUUGCUAGCUAACUUGGAAAUAAUAAUAUAAGAGAGAAAUAGCUUUUGUGACUUUAUAAAAAUGUAUAGAUAUAAUUGUAUAUCUAAUAAUCAUCUCCCCACUCACUUUCUCUUUCUCUUUCUCUCAUUGCAAGAAUAAUAAAAGUGAUGAAAGACAAAAAAAAAAAGAUAGAUUUUUAUGAAGUGUGGUUUUUAAUUACCCAAACCCACUUCUCUUCUUCUCUCUUGUUUCAUCCGGCCAUGUGCCUUAUCAAUUCUCUCUUUCUCCCUUAGUCAAUUGCCAAAGGAUUGCUUGCAAGAAAGAACAAACAUGUUGGCAAAAUAACAAAUUGAC